UUCAACCGGAAACUGUCCAACUGAUCUCCCAAGUACCGUGUGCAUUUUUAGUUUAUUCGUAUUUAAGGUUCUUAUAGCCAAGUUUUUAAUUUUAAUGAAUUUUAUGAUUGUGAUUUUGGUAUGUUGUUGCUUAUUUAUUUUUUAUUGGAUUGCAACCUGAGAAGUAAUUCGAUUCGCCCAUUAUAAUGCUUAGUUGUACUGGUUGACCGGACCGCCCAUCUGUUGCAAAAUAUUUACGGUACUUCGGAGCCAUUAUCAGUUGCUGUUUAUUUGUUACUGGAUUGCGAAAGACAAGUAACUCCAUUAAAUAUUUGGCAGAAGGGUCUCUCAGGAGAAUGAUUGUUUUGAUCAUAAAUCAAGCAUUGCAGUGGGAAAAUGGCUGGAUUUACGAUGAAAACAAAUAUUCUACUUGGAGUCCCGUUUGUCAAAUGUUUAAUAUUCAGUUCGGUCUAUCUCCCGUUUGACCUGAUUUUUUCGCAUUGUUACCAAAAUUUUAUAAAUACUUUUAAAUAUCUUGCAUUUUCCAUAUUUGAACAGCUCUUGCCUAUCCUUUUCAAAAGCCUGAGUUCUGAGCCAUUUAGUUGUAACCAAAUCAGCAGGUCAAGUUCAGGUUAGGUUAGGGAGCAUGAGCUGAUGCAGCACAUUGCCAUACCCACCACACAGCGAAACUCCUCAGGAUCCCGGCCAGUGAUCCCCCAGGCAGAUUCACGGUCCAUUCCCACCCUCCGGAAAUGGCCAUCCUUCUGCCGCAACUAGAUGUUACGUGGGCAUCCCCUCGGCCUGGUCCAGCCACUUGGGUCCUCAGCAGUGAGGAUCCUGUGAACCGGAUCACCCUCUGGGAAACAUGCCACAUGGCUGUAGUGCUGUAACUCACGCUCCCUCACAAUGCAGAUCGGCAACGAGCGCUGAACCAGGAGGCGGAGCUCUGGAGCCCUGCCCGCCCCUCAGCCGCCAUGCUCAUCCACAAAGACAGCUGACCCAUUUAUGAAGACCGUACUGCGUUCAUCUACUUCGUCCACAACUCUCCUCUCCGAGGUUUUUCCAGCAUUUUACCAAGCUCACCUAUGUGUGCAGAGGGUUUGUGUAUUCAAUCUAUUUUACUUUUAACCCCUUUAAAAAAUGUGAAAAGACAUCAUGUCAGGGUAGUCUCAUGCAAUUCAAAUAAGUGUUCACGAACCUGCAAAUGAACACACUGAUAUAUACAGAAAUACCAGACAGUAUAACUACUGAAGAUGAACAAUGGAUUGAUGUAAUAUACUGUAUCCAUGUCACUAAUCCUUACAAGGAAUUCAAAAAAAGUGGUUUCCUCAAUGCUUCUCAGGCAAGCAAAAUUGGGAAACGUUAUCUGGAGAAGUUGGGGGUGGAAAGAGACAAAAAAUGUCUCAUCUAGUAUGAAGGCGUGGGGAAACUCCUUAACGAUGCGUUUGAACAACGGAAGAAUAAUCAAGGAGAACAUGAGAGCACAUUCAAUCACAAAGUGUCCUUAAACUGUGAACACAUUCCACACAGCCUGAAGUCACCUGCAUGUGGAUUUGGCAUGGCUAGAGAACUCCAAAUCAUUUACACAAGAGUUUUGAUAUACCACUUGUUAUUUCACUGAAGGUCAAGUAUGACUGUUUGAGAGUAUGAAAAUCUUAGAUUCUGAAAUGUUUCUACAUUUAUAAACAUUUUAUAAUGAUC